UUCACCAAGAUUGAGUUGAUGUUAUCAUCAUGUGCUACGAAGGAAUCAACACAUUUUGUAUCAGAGACUCUCCAAGCUUUCACUGUUCUGUCAUGAGAGCCAGAGUAUAAUAGCCCUUCUGAGUGGUAAUAAGCCAAACAGUCCUUGUGUGUGGAGAAAAGCAUGUUGCUGUAAGCCAGAAUGGCUCUGACAUCGCCAUAGCUUGCUCUGAGGUGCCCUCUGUCCAUGCAAUCUGGCUGCUUCCAAACACGAAUCCUGCUGCUGUUGGAGCCUGUGAAGAUUAAGCCCUUGGAAGUGGAGAUGGCGUAGAUGUUACCUUCAGGGAUGAAACCAGAAAAAUUGGGUAAGAGUACGUAAGUUUAACACAUUUUCACCUCAAUAAAAUCAAGAAUCACUAAAUAUAUGAUCUAAUGUAAAAACUGGACUCAAUUUCCUGCAGUCAGAGCAUCAUGUUUCACUUAAGUCACGGGCUCUGGUUCAAAUAAGUUGAUUAAGAUCGACUUGAAUUAAUUUCAAGUGAUAAAUACAACAUUUGAAUACUACUCUAUUGAAAAAAUUAUUUUCUCUAGGGUACUAGUUUCAGCCCCGGUUACCUUCGUGGCGGUGGAGGGAGGCGAUGCAUUGGUAAAGCAAUGAAGGGGAAGGUGAUUGGAGAGGGGAAAGAGUCCAUGGUGAUUCAGGACAAGGGGUUGGUGACAUCGUUGGUGACACCAUAGGAAACAUUGUUGUACCAUCAGAAGUGGAAGGCCUUGGUGAAGUGAACUGAAGAUCUUGAUCACUUGUUUCUAUGUGGGUUUGGACACGAAGGUGAAUGUUGGGGGAUUGUUGUUCUGUCAUGGUUUCUGUGUCCAUCAAGCUAUGGAGGGAUCGAUUGCCAUAGGAAUCCAUGGCAUGAGAAUGAUGGUUUUGAUUAAAAGAAACUAGUGAUCAAUGAUCAUAGGGACUUUAGGUUGGGGUUAUAAACAAAUGUAAAGAGGGUUUGGCUGAUUGGUGGUGUAUUUAUGAAGGUAUAUAAAUGCUUUAUCAACUGUACGUUGAAUGUUUUCAUGAAUUAUCCUGCUACUAGGACCUUUGAAUC